GGGUUGUGAGGUUAAGCGACUAAGCGUACACGGUGGAUGCCCUGGCAGUCAGAGGCGAUGAAGGACGUGCUAAUCUGCGAUAAGCGUCGGUGAGGUGAUAUGAACCGUUAUAACCGGCGAUUUCCGAAUGGGGAAACCCAGUGUGUUUCGACACACUAUCAUUAACUGAAUCCAUAGGUUAAUGAGGCGAACCGGGGGAACUGAAACAUCUAAGUACCCCGAGGAAAAGAAAUCAACCGAGAUUCCCCCAGUAGCGGCGAGCGAACGGGGAGGAGCCCAGAGCCUGAAUCAGUGUGUGUGUUAGUGGAAGCGUCUGGAAAGGCGCGCGAUACAGGGUGACAGCCCCGUACACAAAAAUGCACAUGCUGUGAGCUCGAUGAGUAGGGCGGGACACGUGGUAUCCUGUCUGAAUAUGGGGGGACCAUCCUCCAAGGCUAAAUACUCCUGACUGACCGAUAGUGAACCAGUACCGUGAGGGAAAGGCGAAAAGAACCCCGGCGAGGGGAGUGAAAAAGAACCUGAAACCGUGUACGUACAAGCAGUGGGAGCCUCUUAAUGGGGUGACUGCGUACCUUUUGUAUAAUGGGUCAGCGACUUAUAUUCUGUAGCAAGGUUAACCGAAUAGGGGAGCCGAAGGGAAACCGAGUCUUAACUGGGCGUUAAGUUGCAGGGUAUAGACCCGAAACCCGGUGAUCUAGCCAUGGGCAGGUUGAAGGUUGGGUAACACUAACUGGAGGACCGAACCGACUAAUGUUGAAAAAUUAGCGGAUGACUUGUGGCUGGGGGUGAAAGGCCAAUCAAACCGGGAGAUAGCUGGUUCUCCCCGAAAGCUAUUUAGGUAGCGCCUCGUGAAUUCAUCUCCGGGGGUAGAGCACUGUUUCGGCAAGGGGGUCAUCCCGACUUACCAACCCGAUGCAAACUGCGAAUACCGGAGAAUGUUAUCACGGGAGACACACGGCGGGUGCUAACGUCCGUCGUGAAGAGGGAAACAACCCAGACCGCCAGCUAAGGUCCCAAAGUCAUGGUUAAGUGGGAAACGAUGUGGGAAGGCCCAGACAGCCAGGAUGUUGGCUUAGAAGCAGCCAUCAUUUAAAGAAAGCGUAAUAGCUCACUGGUCGAGUCGGCCUGCGCGGAAGAUGUAACGGGGCUAAACCAUGCACCGAAGCUGCGGCAGCGACACUAUGUGUUGUUGGGUAGGGGAGCGUUCUGUAAGCCUGUGAAGGUGGCCUGUGAGGGUUGCUGGAGGUAUCAGAAGUGCGAAUGCUGACAUAAGUAACGAUAAAGCGGGUGAAAAGCCCGCUCGCCGGAAGACCAAGGGUUCCUGUCCAACGUUAAUCGGGGCAGGGUGAGUCGACCCCUAAGGCGAGGCCGAAAGGCGUAGUCGAUGGGAAACAUGUUAAUAUUCCUGUACUUGGUGUUACUGCGAAGGGGGGACGGAGAAGGCUAUGUUGGCCGGGCGACGGUUGUCCCGGUUUAAGCGUGUAGGCUGGUUUUCCAGGCAAAUCCGGAAAACCAAGGCUGAGGCGUGAUGACGAGGCACUACGGUGCUGAAGUGACAAAUGCCCUGCUUCCAGGAAAAGCCUCUAAGCAUCAGGUAACAUCAAAUCGUACCCCAAACCGACACAGGUGGUCAGGUAGAGAAUACCAAGGCGCUUGAGAGAACUCGGGUGAAGGAACUAGGCAAAAUGGUGCCGUAACUUCGGGAGAAGGCACGCUGAUAUGUAGGUGAAGCGACUUGCUCGUGGAGCUGAAAUCAGUCGAAGAUACCAGCUGGCUGCAACUGUUUAUUAAAAACACAGCACUGUGCAAACACGAAAGUGGACGUAUACGGUGUGACGCCUGCCCGGUGCCGGAAGGUUAAUUGAUGGGGUUAGCGGUAACGCGAAGCUCUUGAUCGAAGCCCCGGUAAACGGCGGCCGUAACUAUAACGGUCCUAAGGUAGCGAAAUUCCUUGUCGGGUAAGUUCCGACCUGCACGAAUGGCGUAAUGAUGGCCAGGCUGUCUCCACCCGAGACUCAGUGAAAUUGAACUCGCUGUGAAGAUGCAGUGUACCCGCGGCAAGACGGAAAGACCCCGUGAACCUUUACUAUAGCUUGACACUGAACAUUGAGCCUUGAUGUGUAGGAUAGGUGGGAGGCUUUGAAGUGUGGACGCCAGUCUGCAUGGAGCCGACCUUGAAAUACCACCCUUUAAUGUUUGAUGUUCUAACGUUGGCCCCUAAUCGGGGUUGCGGACAGUGUCUGGUGGGUAGUUUGACUGGGGCGGUCUCCUCCUAAAGAGUAACGGAGGAGCACGAAGGUUGGCUAAUCCUGGUCGGACAUCAGGAGGUUAGUGCAAUGGCAUAAGCCAGCUUGACUGCGAGCGUGACGGCGCGAGCAGGUGCGAAAGCAGGUCAUAGUGAUCCGGUGGUUCUGAAUGGAAGGGCCAUCGCUCAACGGAUAAAAGGUACUCCGGGGAUAACAGGCUGAUACCGCCCAAGAGUUCAUAUCGACGGCGGUGUUUGGCACCUCGAUGUCGGCUCAUCACAUCCUGGGGCUGAAGUAGGUCCCAAGGGUAUGGCUGUUCGCCAUUUAAAGUGGUACGCGAGCUGGGUUUAGAACGUCGUGAGACAGUUCGGUCCCUAUCUGCCGUGGGCGCUGGAGAACUGAGGGGGGCUGCUCCUAGUACGAGAGGACCGGAGUGGACGCAUCACUGGUGUUCGGGUUGUCAUGCCAAUGGCACUGCCCGGUAGCUAAAUGCGGAAGAGAUAAGUGCUGAAAGCAUCUAAGCACGAAACUUGCCCCGAGAUGAGUUCUCCCUGAGACUUAGAGUCUCCUGAAGGAACGUUGAAGACGACGACGUUGAUAGGCCGGGUGUGUAAGCGCAGCGAUGCGUUGAGCUAACCGGUACUAAUGAACCGUGAGGCUUAACCUUACAACGCCGAAG
rnacentral:rRNA from 1 species